GGUCUUGUGAUUCAUUGCUAGUGUGGCAAGUGGUAUAGAUUUUAUACAAUAGCUGACUACGCCACGAUGGGACUUGCACCCAAAGAUAUAAUUCAAAGAUC